rnacentral:ncRNA from 1 species
CCAGAAAAAGCCAAACCCCCCGCGAGGUGGGUACGGAAAGCCGCGGGUCUCUGAAAUUUCUUGGGGUAGAGACAGCCGGGUUGCCUGGG